AGUGAACGCUGGCGGUAGGCCUAACACAUGCAAGUCGAACGGACGCACAGUAAGAGCUUGCUCUUAUGGGUGGCGAGUGGCGGACGGGUGAGGCAUACAUCGGAAUCUACUUUUUCGUGGGGGAUAACGUAGGGAAACUUACGCUAAUACCGCAUACGACCUACGGGUGAAAGCAGGGGAUCUUCGGACUUUGCGCGAUUGAAUGAGCCGAUGUCGGAUUAGCUAGUUGGCGGGGUAAAGGCCCACCAAGGCGACGAUCCGUAGCUGGGCUGAGAGGAUGAUCAGCCACACUGGAACUGAGACACGGUCCAGACUCCUACGGGAGGCAGCAGUGGGGAAUAUUGGACAAUGGGCGCAAGCCUGAUCCAGCCAUACCGCGUGGGUGAAGAAGGCCUUCGGGUUGUAAAGCCCUUUUGUUGGGAAAGAAAAGCAGCAGGUUAAUACCCCGCUGUUCUGACGGUACCCAAAGAAUAAGCACCGGCUAACUUCGUG
rnacentral:rRNA from 1 species